AGGGGCGGCCUUAGGCUCCUCUCCUUCUCAGCUCCAACUCUGCAGUUUUCUUCAACUGCAGCCAGAGCUGUGCAGAUGCGUGUGGAGUAGCAGGAUGAACAGAAGAUCCAACCUGGUGGUCAUCAUCUCGAGGCUCGUACCGCCAUUGAGGUUCCUUCAAUGGUGCCCUGUCCACCAUGCCUGUCCACAACCUGGGGACAACUGUCAUCAAAGAAGUUCUGCAGAGGGCCAAGGUGGCUACUGAAGAGGUGUCCGAGGCGGACACGUUUUGACCGCAGGUUGCAAAGGCAGGCUGGUCCCUGGAGGAUGUUGACGUGUUUGAAAUCAAUGAAGCCUUUGCAGCAGUGUCUGCAGCAAUAGCUACAGAACUUGGAUUAAACCCCGAGAAGGUGAACAUCGAUGGAGGAGCCAUUGCCUUGGGACAUCCUCUGGGAGCAUCUGGCUGUAGGAUUCUAGUGACCUUGUUACACACCCUGGAGAGAGUGCGUGGGACUUGUGGUGUUGCAGUCCUGUGCACUGGGGGUGGGAUGGGGAUGGCAAUGUGUGUUCAGAGAGGGUGAGCCACCACCCUUACAGUUCUCAUUAAAACACUAAACAGAACGUGAGUCCAGAGGACCAAAGUGAGGACAGGCACCCAGGUGGACAGCUUGCUGUACUUUAGUGUGAGACACCCAAGGCUAAGACGUUGAGACACUGCACUUGACACUGUUAAAACAGGGAAAUCCAGUCAGUCAUCAAGGGCUCCAGAGUGAACGACAGUUUCAUAAUUUCCAUGUUUAUUGUCUUUGCUUUCUGGGUAUAAUGUUCUCUGAUCAUUGAUUUGUUUGAUUGUUUGUUUGUUUGUUUGUUUUUUAGUCAGGGUCUCAUCAUAUAGCCUGGAAAUCAUUUUGUAGAUGAGGUUGGCUUUGAAUUCCCAGAGAUCCACCUUUCUGUGCCUCCUGGGUACUCAAAUUAAACGCAUGCGCCAUUAUGCAGGGCCCUAAAAUGAUCCAUUCAAGGAAUGGGGAUGUGGCUUCUGGUUUGAACUUCAGGCUCUUCGCUCAAACACCCCUGCUUGCUUGUUGUAUUGUGGUUUCCCGUUGAUCAAACCAAGACCAAUCCUGUAAUGGAAAUUGGAUUCAGUGGCCUCUUCUAAGCUGAGGUGGUGGGGUAGGCAUUCUAGCUACUCUAGUCAGAAGAUUGGCCGUCCCAACCAGUGUGCCUCUGGGUUGUUGGAAAGUGAGCUGCAAGCGCCUUCCAUGCAUUUGUUUCUGUGCUUGACCAGAGCGAUGGUACUUGCUUCAAACGUCUACCUUGGCUUCCCCAAAAUGAUGAACUGUGACUGGAAUUGAAAGCUAAAUAAACUCUCUCCUCCCUUGCA